UACUUUGUUUUUCUGAGAUGACAUUCCUUAAAAACCUUGAUUUAUUUCUUUAUCUCCUCCCAGAGACCCAGCUUCCGCACAAGAGGGAGCCCCGGUGAAUACCUACUACAGAGAAGGCUCUUGAAACACAUCUGAAGGUUGCACUAAGGAAUGCAUGGACAAGGUCAGGGUCCUCAUUCCUGUGCCCAAACUGGUGUCCCCUGGGAGCCUAAGACACCAGACACAGCCCCUCCUCGGUGCACACCAGGGACAGUAGGUGCUCAGCAAACAUCCCUCUAACAAGUGCAUGCGAUCACAAACAGCAGCUCUACAGAGCCAUCCUCGAGCCCAAGGUGCAUGCACAGUGUUGUCCCGUCAGGGGUCCUGGGGUCAGAGCCAUGGCUCUGUUCCUCUGAGGACCGUGAGCCUUGCCCCCAUCCAUGAGCUUUUGUUACCGGCCUCUAAAAACUAAACCACUUAGGCCUGGUGCUGUUCAAACUGCAGGAUUUUAUUCGAGGAGUAACUGUUGAAGGAGCGUUCGAUUUUCUACCUUAACAGGUGGGUUGGGGGUUUCCGGAGAUGGGCCGGAUUGGAGCACCGGAGUCUGCCGUGUGUCGGCCGGAGGCCAGGACUUGCUCCCACCCGGCUGUGCGACUUGGUGUAGGGGAUGCGCUUCUUCAAACGACAGCGGCCGUGACACGGACGACCCCCACACUAGCAGCCUGCCACGCUGACCUUCUGCUCCACUGACCCCGACACUGACCGUAUCUCCCAUUGCCAGAUUUCGAGAGAGAGCGCACUCCCUUCCUGUCCCGCUUCUACUCAGCCGGUCCCUGCCCGCCUGGUGCAGCCGUGGCCUGUGACUCCGCUUCCCUGCUGGCUUCAUAGACACCACCUAGCGGUCUCCUGGGAAGCUCUGGAGCCCGAGGACACCCCAAGCUCUCUCCUCCCUGGCUCCGCGGCCAAGCUUCCCCCCAUCGAGGUCCUAUUUCUGUACCCGCCCCCGCCAUCGGCCAAAGUCUCUCUCCAGGCUCUACACCCGGUGAAUUCCCCGGGAUUCUCUUCCCCACCCCAUCCAAUGGUCUUAGGUCAGCAAGCGGACUCCAGAUCUCCAAGGGCAGGGACGUUUCCUCUCUCCUGCGUCCCUCAGUGCCAGGCACAGACGAUGCAUGCAGUAGACACUUGGUGCAUAUACACAGUGACUGAAAUCAUUCCGGGGAUGCAAAGUGACUGAGCCCGCCGCAGGAAGGGAAGGCCAUGUUCCUGCUGCAAAUGAUGACCCAUUUGCUUCCAGAAAGGACUGCUCUGCACGCAGCUGCAGAGGUGGAGGCCGUGCGCUCUGAGCCCCCCUCCCAGCCAGGCUGCGGCGAGUGGGCUCGGCUGCACGAGUUUAGAAUGUUCCCAAGACUCCUGCGGAGAGAGACUCCGUCCUGGCCCGGGUCUAUUCUUAGCAGUGCUCACAGCCGGUCCCGGGAGAAGGCUGGCUGUUCCGCAGCGUCUGGCUUUCUCCGUCCAAUCUUCGGUGGAGCCUUCUGUUUCCGCCUUCAGACAGAACCAGGAAGCAUACAUGAGGCUUCCGUUACGGGUCACCACGAAUCCAGGAACGAACCAGCCGGGCCACUGCCCUCAAAUGACCCAGGGCAGCUGCGGUGGAGACAAGCAGAACCUGCCAGGACACACUGUGGUCAGUCCUGAACUCUUGUCCCAGAGCCUUGUGUUUUGGGAGCACGGACAGAAACUAAUUGCCCCAGAGGUGGACAGGGAAGGCUUAACGGAGGAGAUGAUACACUCAAUUUAUACCAUUGGUGGACAGUAAUCAUCAACCGCUUCAAAAGAUUCCCUCUGUGGGCUACAAUUUUCAUUCCCAUUCUCAAGUCCUCCUGGAGUGUAGCAUGAUUUAUUUCCUUACCAGCCAGCCUAACUUCUUUCAGUAACAGAAUCCGUCAGUCCCCUCCUGAUCUACAUGACAAUGAAAAAUACUGGGAAAACACACUGGGGCCAUUCUAUGAGCACCUGCCUAUAGAUUUAUUUUUUUAACACUUUUUUUUUUAUUUUUUAUUUUUUAAAAUUUACAUCCCAAUUAGUUAGCAUAUAGUGCAACAAUGAUUUCAGGAGUAGAUUCUUUAGUGCCCCUGACCCAUUUAGCCCAUCCCCCCCCCCAAGCCCCUCCCGUAACCCUCAGUUUGUUCUCCAUGUUUAUGAGUCUCUUCUGUUUUGUCCCCUUCCCUGUUUUUGUAUUAUUUUUGUUUCCCUUCCCUUAUGUUCAUCUGUUUUGUCUCUUAAAGUCCUCAUACGAGGGAAGUCCUAUGAUUUUUGUCUUUCUCUGACGGACUCAUUUCACUUAGCAUAACACCCUCCAGUUCCAUCCACAUAGUUUGCAAAUGGCAAGAUUGCAUUCUUUUUGAUUGCCAAGUAAUACUCCAUUAUAUAUAUGCACCACAUUUUCUUUAUCCAUUCAUCCAUCGAUAGACAUCUGGUAUAAGCACCUGCCUGUAGAAGCCUCAUCCCGCAACCCCUCAUCCCAUCUUUGGGCUUGGACCCUCCUGGUCCAUUUGCUGGUUGAAAAACGCCCUCAGAAACCUUUGGGGCACAUUGACCCUCUCUCCUGGAACCUCCUUCCCCACCCUCCCUCUGCCUCUCACAUCCAGAUCCUAUUUUUCCUUCAAGGCCCCAUCACCUCACCUCACCAUGCUUUCCCUGGAAACGGUUGCUCUCUCUAAGUUCUAUCCCCACUGCUCUUAUGCUCAAUCACAUUGACUCUGGUGUGUGUGAUGGAAUCACUGAGGGUGGCAUCCCAGAUACAGAUGGACAGACGAUCAAGGGGCUACCUGUGGAAGGAGACUUGCCCCAGAACUCAGUAGAGCCCACUGCCUGUAUCACUUGAAGCUUUGUGAUGUGGGUCUUUCCUAAGGUCACCAAGCAUUUGCAGGUCUCCUGAGAGCAGAGUUCACAUCUGGCUCAGAGUUGUCCGGCCAACACCCAGCACAUGCCCUAGAACCAAUGCAUGCUCAUCAUUACACGUUGAGUGAAUAAAAGCUUCUUUCCAGA